rnacentral:rRNA from 1 species
CCCUUAGAUGUUCUGGGCCGCACACGCGCUACACUGAAGGAGGCAGCGUGUACUCCUGGAUCGAAAGAUUUGGGUAACCCGCGAAUCUCCUUCGUGCUAGGGAUUGAGGUUUGCAAUUAUCCUUCAUGAACGAGGAAUUCCCAGUAAGUGCAAGUCAUAAGCUUGCGCUGACUACGUCCCUGCCCUUUGUACACACCGCCCGUCGCUACUACCGAUUGAAUGAUUUAGUGAGGACUUCGGACUGGGACCGAUGCGGCUUUCGGGCUGCGCCGGUAUUCUGGAAAGAUGUCCAAACUGUAUCAUUUAGAGGAAGUAAAAGUCGUAACA